UGAUGAGGUAAUCUAUAGAAUAUUUCUUGAUAUUAAUAAAAUUGAAGACUUUGAAUAAUUAGUUAUAAAUUAAAUUAUAAAUUAUCUUAUUAAUUGAGCAUAUUUUUUGUAUUUUUUAUUUUUUAUUAGGCAUAAUAUGUUCGUGGACUGGUGAAGGCAAAAUGGAGGAUUGGAUUGUUCAUCAAAAUUCGCUUAUAUUGAAAAAUUUCUUUUGAUGUAGUUGGACUUAUUUUUAACUUGAAUUAUUGUGUUUGUUGAAAGGUUGUAUUAUUAUAUUUAUAUUAUUAAAUUUGUUGAAUAGUUGUUUUAAUAUUUUUGGAUAUAUUUUUUAAGUUGAGUUAAUUUGGCCUUUAUAUGUGAAAAUUCUGAAAUGAAUAAGAAAAGUUGACGGUUUUUAAUUUUUGAUUUUGAUUUCAAUUUUGUGAUAUUUUUUUGCGGCAGUUAUGAUUUUUUAUUUCAAAAAUCAUUCACUUUCGGUUUCGGUUUCCGAGAGCAGUGAUAGAUCUUGGGUUUGGUUUCAGUUUUUCACUAACUAUAUUGAAUCCAUCCCAUUGAUAUCCCUGCAUGCACCUGCCUAUUUUAAAAGGAACAAGUGCUUAAGAAACGGUUGCCAUUGCAUCAAUAGAUACACUAUUAUAUGGCACUGUAGGAUGCACCUAAUUGAUAUUUGAUGGAAAGUUGCAAACCCUCAUUUAAUAAAUGGUUAUCAUAUGCUUAGCAAGAAAAAGAUAAAAGGAUUCCGAUAUGAUAUAUGGACCAAUAUAAUGCAAAUGCUAUACUAUGUAUCUACACUCAAAUGUGACAAAGUUCAAAUGGAGAAAGCAGCUUAAGUACAUCUGCCACACAUUACUCAGGCAGGUGGAAUGGAUGUGAAGGAAUCAAGAUCCUAGAGUGCAAAAAAGAUGGUAUAUUUGUAAUCAAAACUCAGAAGUCACUCAAGCACGUGGAAUGAGCGUGAGGGAUUCACAGUUCCAAGUCCUCAUAUGAGACAUCAGUUUCGAUCAUGUAACACUACACGAGAAUUUGCCCAUAGCCCAGUAAAGCUUGGACAUGUCAACAAUCUCAGUCAUCACUACCCACACGCUUAUUUAUCUCACUCGAAAAAGGCUGAAGUUAUCUUAC
rnacentral:lncRNA from 1 species